UACGUAGGUGGCAAGCGUUGUCCGGAUUUAUUGGGUUUAAAGGGUGCGUAGGCGGCUUUGUAAGUCAGCGGUGAAAUACUCUAGCUUAACUAGAGGGGUGCCAUUGAUACUGCGGAGCUUGAGUACAGAUGAGGUAGGCGGAAUUGACGGUGUAGCGGUGAAAUGCAUAGAUAUCGUCAAGAACACCGAUAGCGAAGGCAGCUUACUGGGCUGUAACUGACGCUGAUGCACGAAAAGUGUGGGGAGGCAAACAGG
rnacentral:rRNA from 1 species